CUCUUCGGGUUUUUUCCUCCCCUAGUAGUGCUGUUUUAUUCUUACCAGCCUGAUCUAGUAGGAGGUGCCCCUGCCCGUCACAGGGGGGUUGGAAUUGGAUGAUCUUUACGGUCCCUUCCAACCCAAACUAUUCUAUGAUUCUAUUCUCCACCCCCUCCCAGAGCAUCCAGAUGUUUCUGCUAAGCCGCGCAGCGGAGCUGGGAGCAGCGCUCGCACGCGAUGGGUUCGUGCCGAGCUGCCCCAUUAGUCCCAUAGGCCCACUGUGGCCUUCUGCUGGGGCUGCCACCUCUCCCUUACAUUGCCAGGGAACGGACACUGCUCUAAAGAAUAGAAGGCUUCCCUUCCUCCCUCCCUCCAGGUGGGAAUGCAACCCCAACCCUCAACUCCAGCAACGGGAACUUGCCAAGAGGUACAGCAACAACCCCUCCGUUCAGCAUGAUGCAGAGUGCAUCAGGACUGAGGAAGCAAACGCCCCUGAGAAGCGUCAGCCCUAAUGCCGUAUAGAAGCACUAUUGCCUGGGAUCUCCGAGUCAAGGAGGCAGCCUGCGCACAGGGAGGACUUUCGUCUGCUGUGCAAACCCUCCAUCCUAGACUAUCACAUCGCAACUGAACUACAUCAGUUUAUGUCUGGAGAAGGGCCCUGCAAGUGCAGCGUUCUUGAAAAUGCUGCCAAAAGGAGACACUGAUAGAUUAAUUGCCCACAGCACUAACAAUGAUCAAAGCAAUCACUCUCAGCCAUGGAAGCACAAUGGAGAACAUUGUACCAGCUACUUCCGGAUGGUCUUCCAGGACAACAGGAGGCUGGGGAGCCUUUCAGCUGAGAGACAGCUUUAACAAGGUCUGUGUAUGCUAACCCAGAACAGAGCAGCGAGGACUUUGCUCAGCCCCCAUGCUGCAACCUGCACGCUAUAAGGAUGAAAUUGGCGUCCCCAAAGAGGAUCUGAACAAGAUUCUUAAUACCUUCUAAGAUCUAGGCUGAAUCUUAGUGCUGAGGAGUGGAAGAGAAGUCACUGAAGGAUGAAGGGGUUGACCAUACAAACAGGUUGACCAUAAAUGGCAGGGCACUACCUGUGUUUUGUGAAUGUGGAGCUGUAUUUGAUGAAUGAAGAGCUGAGAAAUGGAGAGCAGAAGCUAAAGAGAAGUCUGUGAUUUCAAGUGUCCAUAUUAGACUGUGACUCCGUGUUUCACAGCACUUGGUGACUCACAGAACCUUGCAUGCUCCAGCUUGCUUUGCCUCUAGUCCUUCAGUACCUUCUGCAAUUUCAAAGCUUCAAGUCAGGCUCCCAGAAAACAAUAAACAUGUAACGACUGACCAUGAGUGAAAAGUUUGAACAAGUUAACCAACGUCACACACAAAAUCUGUGUCAGAGAUUGGGACAGUAUGUAUUUGUGCAGUUUGAUGUUUAUCUACCCCUAACCAUGUCACCAGCCAGUGUCUCAUCUCAUUCAUCAUGUACCAUACGUUCUAGAUGCAUUGCCAUGGGAUUACAAGCAAGGAAAGUAUCAACAGAUACAGUAAUACAGUGAACUGAAAAAAACCUGUUGCCAAAUAAAUGCUGCAAGCAUUUCAGAACAAGCCAGUUAGCUAUGCAUCAGCAGUGUGAUUACUUUGCUUGCCUGCACAUUUGUCCUUUUACUCUUCUCCACUGUGUUUUAAUUCUUUGUAUAUUACACCUCUUGGAGUUGGAACUGUCAUUUUCUGUAUGUGCAAAACACCCUGCAUAACCUUGAAAUGAUCCAGACAGCCUGUGACACAGAUAAAUAUCACCAUUUUAUGCAUGGGGAAAGUUAAAGUAUGGGACCUAAUUUAAAAAAAAAAGGGGGGGAGGCACUUUUUAGUGAUUUUACAUUUCUCAUUUGUACAAGACAAGAGGCCAUCUGUGAGUGCACAGUUCUGCUGCUGUGACAGGCUGGAUGCACAGGAAUGGGCUUUUGGGGCACUGCUAUGCAGAAGGUGUAAAUAAUUUAGCAUGUAUCUAUUUUGAGGGUAUAGAUAUAUGUGAGUCACUCAAAGUAACAUAGGAAGUCAAUCAAUCUUGUCAUUUAAUCAGUAUAACAAAGGAAAAAUGUUUCCCUAAAAUAGCAAGCAAAUAAGUCAUGUGAGAGAUAAUACUUUAAAUUUUCCUGUGAGUCUGUGCAUUCCAAUAGGCACCAAUCUUUCUCACUUAAUUAGCCUCCUUUGGGAGCUAUCUUGCAGGUGUUUUUCAUUAUUUUCAGCAGAAGUUUAGCAAUUUCUCUCCGUAUUGCAUUUCCAGGACAAACCUCUGCUUUCCAGCCGGGGAUAGUUUUGUUUUUAAAUUGUUUCUCUCUGUAUCCCUCCCAGAUCAUCAGAGUGAAAAUCACUUUCUUCUCUUGGAUCCUUCUCGUGUAUUAAUACCUUCCCAGAGAAGUAAAGCAAAUGUAGGCUGGAGAAACAGUGCCACUGCCUGAAAUCUCAUCUAUCUGGACGCUUACCAGAAAGACAAAUCAAUGAAGGAAGAGAUCUUUUUCUAUCAUUAGUAGAAGCACAUUCCUGGCCAGAUGCAGGGGAAAAAUAAGGGUUUCUCAUUAGAAGGUUUGACCAACCCUCUGAAAGAUUAUACUAAGCUGUUUUCAAGGGCUUGUGUCUUAUUUUAGUAAGUCACACACUCACAUGCCCAGCUGCCCCCUACUCACACAACUCAGGGUGGGUCAUAUUACUUCAUAUGCCAAAGUGGGAAUGACUUAUUUACUACAGAGAGUAUUUGGGAAUGUAGUUAUGCAGAGCAAUCAGUCACAAGCUUUCUGUGCGCCUGUUCUUCAGUUCACAAAGCAUUCAAACUCUAUAGUUGGCUUUGUUUUUUGCUAUUGCAUCCUCACCUUUAUGCUGGGUCUCCAACACCCAUUUUGUGCAUGCAUUCCUAUCCUCCCAGGAUGUUUGGGAUGUGAAAAUUUACAGCAAGAUUUAUUGUAAGAAAGAGUUAAAAAAAUGAAUGCUUUCCAUUGACUCACUCAAAAUUGAGUGCCUCUGAAAAUGCUACUCUACGCCCUGUAUUUCUAGGCAAACUGAAUAAGUGACCUCUCUAAACUAUCAUGCCAGAAACUGCAAAACUCUUCAUGGUAAAUUCAAAAUACAAACAUAAUCCCAGCUCUGUAGCUUGGGAGCUUCCCUGAGAUCCUUCCCAAGGUAGGUGAGACUCUGAUGGGAGGCAUGGAGGACUAUGGAAGUGGGUAAGUGUGAAACAGAUAGAGUAGCUGUAGACUUACACUUAACAGUAUUAAUUUUCCUUCCUGGCAAGCACAAAGGCAGAAGGUCUGUUUAGUGAACUCCUUUGGGAUCUCUGGCAGGAGGUAGCUUGGAGUGGGGUUAGCAGCCUUAUCUGCAGGCACUCCUCAGUAUUUUAACCCACUGACACUCUGUGAGGGGAGAUUCAUGAACGUUAUCAGCUGCCCAACUCUGACCUCAGAGCAGGGCUUUGCAAUUACAGUCCUCUCCUGCCCUGAAAACUCUCCUCGCCCAUUGACUAAUUGGGUCAUUUUAAUUUACAGAAACAUUAAGCCCUGAUUUUUAAACCUGGCAUUGAAACACGGCCUCUGAAACAUUCUUGCCUCCAUCUCCACGCUGGCUUCUGCCAACAAUAAGCGUGACGUAAAUCAGUGGAUCUCUGAUAAGCUGCCUCUUAGCAGUUGCUUUAAUAUCUGCAUACUGAUGUGUGGGAGCAGGCAAGAGAAGUGCUUGGGACGUGAACAGAAACCAAAGAGGCUGACAGGCCCUUUUCAGUCUCCUCCCUGAGGUAGCCAGGUGCACUGCUCGCUCCCGUUGGCUGUGGGCAGCUCCACUGUCCCGCCUGGCUGGAGGGACCAGCAGUACCCCAGCUGUGCUGAGGCAUCCGUGUUCCCUUCCCAGGCAGGGCCACACAGGCCAACAACAGCCCACUCAGGUGUCUCCCAGUCUGACAACCCGGAUGGAGCGCAGCAGAGGCAGUCCAGAAAAAAACCUCUUGUUUACUGGAUAUUGAUAUAUGUCAUAUCUUUCCCAUGGCACUGUGCUGGGUGAGAGCUGUCAAGACCAUCUACUUUUUUGAAAUUGUGACCUACAUCCCUUUGAAAUGGAAAGAAAUGGUGACUACAGCUUAGUACUUACCUUUCUUGGCCUGCCAGGGAAGACACUUUGCAGCCUUCACCUCAAAAACAAAGAGGCGGAUCUGAAGAUAAGAAUUCAGCUGGUAAGUCCUUGAUAGCUACUUUGUACAGACACUGUGCAGACGUAAGGAAGUGGAUAUGCCCUGAGGAGCAGCCUGCGGGAUCUUUUUGUUGGGUACAGCCAUUCGCAGGAACUCAUACGAGGAGCAGCUGAGGGAACUGGGGUUGUUUAGCCUUGAGAAGAGGAGGCUGAGGGGAGACCUUAUUGCUCUCUACAACUGCCUGAAAGGAGGUUUUAGAGAGGAGGGUGAUGGCCUCUUCUCCCAAGAGGCAGGUGAUAGGACACAGGGGAGUGGCCUCAAGCUGCGUCAGGGGAGGUUCAGACUGGAUAUCAGGAAAAAAAUUUUCACAGAAAGGAUCAUCAGGCACUGGCAGAGGCUGCCCAGGGAGGUGGUUGUCACCAUCCCUGCAGGUAGACGAGGUGCUCAGGGACAUGGUUUAGUGACAGGUAGGAAUGGUUGGACUCAAUGAUCCAAGAGGUCUUUUCCAACCUAGUGAUUCUAUGAUGCAUCCCAGCUGCAACCCGGCACUGUAACGGUUUGUAGCCCCUCUGAAUUCCUCAUUCAGAGAAUCCCUGAAUGAGUUGGAAAUUAAACUCUGAACUAAAUUCUUGAGCUUUUCUGGUCUUAGCUGAGCCUUAGUUUUAUCACUUACAUUUUUGUCCACACUGUUAGAAUACAUUUAUUGCUAAAACCCAUCCAGGAUAUAACAGGUUUCUUAAAAAGCAUGUAGGCAAUGUUCGGGAAAUUUCUGUAUUUUUUUUUUUAGGUUGUCUUAUGAUAUUGUUAAGAACAGUGGGGAAAUAAACAUUGGAUCCCUCUCUGGCAUUAGUUGUCCAUUUUGAAGUAAUUUAUAGAAUGGAUACAAUAUAAUGAGUGUAUGUAUGUUUGCAUGUGUAUACAUUAAGACAUGCUUAUAUGUACACAUGAUAAAUAUAUUAAUUAGUGACAGAGUGGCAGGAUUCAUUUUAUUUUUCAAGAUCUCUUUUACAGGCUUUAUUUAGGACUGUAGCAGCCAGUCUACAGCAGCUAGCUCCUAGUGCAGCCAAAUGAGUCAUUUCCACCUACACUAACACAUGGCAAAAUGGUUUCUACUAUGUGUCUACCUAUUAGAAAUAAACAGAAAAUAAGUAUAUUAGUCUCAAAUUCUGCAGCUUCUUUUACCUGAGGGUCUUAACAUAGUGUAGAAAUGGAGACCUCCCAGCCCUGCUAUGGUGGUAAGGUGUAUUGUAGGUAUGGAGGCAUACCGUAUAUAUUUUUAGUGGUGAAACUGAGGCACAAAACAGUUAAUUUUCCUACUGUCACAUACCAACUCUGCAAAAUGAGGAAAACUAGAUACUGUCUGCUCCCAUAGCUAUGCUGCCUACCCACUGGACAACACUGCCAUUAAAUCCCAGAAAUGUUACUUUUUCACUUUAUUUCCAGCUGGAAGUGAUGGAAGAUUUUUCCUUUCUGUUGCUUAGCUACCUCGUGACCUUUGGAUAGUCUUUCUUAUUGGCUGGGUGGACGCUUUUCCCUCCAGCUGCCUGGAUGCAGACGUGUCUCAGACCUCCCCCUCUGGUAGGUUUUCAUCAGCUGCCCUGCCUCAGCCAUGUGUUUCUCUUCCCAUCUUGCUGAAAGAAAUGUUGUUCUUUUUCCUCUAGCAUAUAUCAAAUGAUGCUAGGAAAAAAAAGAAAAAAACCAAACAAACUAGAAAAAGCCUUUAAGACUGAUGUAUAUUUUAUCGAUUCAUUGUAUUACUUAACAACUCAGUGUUAAUUAAAGCUAACUCAGUAAUUACUGUAAUUCUGCUACUCUGGACUUUUCCACAAUCUGCAGAUCAGUGGGAUUUCCUGUUCAAAACAGCUAAAACUCUGAACAAACAGGAAUCUGAACUUGGCAACACGAACAUGCAUCCACUUGACAGAGUACCUCAUGGCUACUGAACCCGUCUUACUAAUAAAAUAAUGCAUGAAAAGUCUAGUUGUUAUAAGGGGCUUUAAUUCUUUCAUUAAGACAUUUGGCAGUGAAACAUUUGGUCUAAUGGUAUAGCAUCAUUUCAUACUGAUACUUUGAAGAUUUGAAUUCUAAACUUAUUCUCAGUUUUGACUGCUGAAAUAAAGGCAGCUAGAAUAAUCAGAGGUGAUGUGGGUGGUUUUUUUUACCUAACAACUUUUAUUGGUCACAUCAAAUAGGACAAUAGUGUGUUCAUUCUUAUCUGGAAAUAUUUUGCCAAUAAUCACCUUUCCUGGAGUUGGAGAAGCAUUGACUGGA